UAUGGAUAGUAUUGUUUUUUCAUUAAAAAUAUUUAAUGAGAAAAAGUAUACAAAGAAAUUAUUACAGAUUCAUAGCUAUAUAUCAAAGAGAGUUUUUUUAAUUAUUGUGCAUUCAUUGUUAAAAAAUUUUGCUUAUUUUUAUUGUAAGCAAAAUUAGUGAUUCAUGAACUCUAGAAAGAAAUUAAUUUAUAAAAAACGAAGUGAAUUGAAAUAUCUUAUUAACUUCAGGAAAAGAAAUCAAACGAGAUUCUGCAAGUAGUGAGAAUGAAAGAGGAAAAGCCUAUUUUUAAUAAUAAGUAAAAUGGAGUAUAUACCUGUUUGAAUGUAAAGGGGAACCUUCCUCUAAGGCUAAAUAUGAUAUAUAAGCGAUAGUUAAGCGUACCGUGAGGGAAUUGAUUGAAGUAGUAAUUUUAUAAGCAGCUCAAGCAAAGUUUAAAUAAACAAUGAGAGCGUACCUUUCGUAUAAUGGGUCAGCAAGUUAAUAUUAGAUGCGAGCAGUAAUGCAAAGAUAAAACAAUUAUGAUAUAAUGAUUUAGUAUCUAAAAUUAGACCCGAAGCCUAGUGAUCUUACCACAAUCAGGGUUAUAAAAGCUCGAACGGGUUAUCGUUGUAAAGAUAUCCGAAGAAUUGUGGUAAGCUAGUGAAAGACAAAACUGACUAGGAUAGCUGGUUUUCUGCGAAACCUAUCUAAGUAGGUAAUUUAAAUAAGAUCAUGGCAGGUACAGAAUUGUGAUCUCAUGCAGCUAGCAUAUAUAAAAUAUGUUAGCUGUGGACAUUGGGGGGUCGUGAAGACUUUAUCAGUGAGUAUUUGCACUCGGAAGGGCUAUGAUCAAUAUUGAAUCAUCAGACAUAGUACGCAAAGGUUGUAUGUCUAAAGGGAAACAGCCCAGAACAAGAGUUAAUAAGGUUCCUAAAUUAUUGUUAAGUGAAAUGAAGACAGUAUUUUUCCAAUUCGUCCAGGAAAUGGGCUUAGGAGCGGCCAUUUUUUAAAGACCUCGUAACAGAGCACUGGUUUAUUUAAUAUAACUGGAUAAAAGCAUCUAAAAUUUAACGGAUCUAAACAAUAUACCGAUACCUUGUCCAUAAAUAUAAAUAUAUCAUAGUUAUAUAUCGGUAUUAAUGGGGUAGCGGAACGUUGGGUAAUCAUAAUCCUCAGAUUUUUUCUUUUUAAGACUUAAAAUAAGGUAUCCCAAGUGAUAAUGCUGACAUGAGUAACGAUAAAGGGAAUAUCUCCCUCGCCUAAAGCUUAUGGAAUUUACUUAAAGUAACGGCCUCUAAGUUUAUGCAAUAUAG
rnacentral:rRNA from 1 species